UUUUUGUGGUUACCUAAAUCAAUGUGGAGCAGUUACUUUAGUAUUUAAAUGCAGUGGUUGUUCCUCCUCGUUUCGUACCUGUAGCUAUUGUGUCUAUACGGGAGAUAUUGCUAAGCUGUGUCAACGACAAUGUUCAACUUUUCCAGAAAAGAAUUCUUCGUGUCAAACGAGUAAUCCUCCGUAUAACGAUUCUGUUUCUAAUUCCGUAGA